rnacentral:rRNA from 1 species
AGGAUUAACGCUGGCGGCGUGCCUAACACAUGCAAGUCGAACGAGGUAGCAAUACCUAGUGGCAGACGGGUGAGUAACGCGUGGUCAACCUACCGUUGAGUGGGGGAUAACUAGCCGAAAGGUUAGCUAAUACCGCAUACGAGUCUCGGGGGCAUCCCUGGGUCUUAAAAGGAGCAAUCCGCUCGAUGACGGGACCGCGUCCCAUUAGCUAGAUGGUGGGGUAAUGGCCUACCGUGGCUCCGAUGGGUAGCUGGUUUGAGAGAGCGACCAGCCACACUGGGACUGAGAAACGGCCCAGACUCCUACGGGAGGCAGCAGUGAGGAAUUUUCCGCAAUGGGCGAAAGCCUGACGGAGCGACGCCGCGUGUGGGAAGAAGGCCUUCGGGUCGUAAACCACUGUCGAAGGGGACGAUAAUGACGGUACCCUUGGAGGAAGCCCGGCUAACUACGUGCCAGCAGCCGC